rnacentral:rRNA from 1 species
GACGAACGCUGGCGGCGUGCUUAACACAUGCGAGUCGAACGGAAAGGCCCUGCUUUUGUGGGGUGCUCGAGUGGCGAACGGGUGAGUAACACGUGAGUAACCUGCCCUUGACUUUGGGAUAACUUCAGGAAACUGGGGCUAAUACCGGAUAGGAGCUCCUGCUGCAUGGUGGGGGUUGGAAAGUUUCGGCGGUUGGGGAUGGACUCGCGGCUUAUCAGCUUGUUGGUGGGGUAGUGGCUUACCAAGGCUUUGACGGGUAGCCGGCCUGAGAGGGUGACCGGCCACAUUGGGACUGAGAUACGGCCCAGACUCCUACGGGAGGCAGCAGUGGGGAAUAUUGCACAAUGGGCGGAAGCCUGAUGCAGCAACGCCGUGUGCGGGAUGACGGCCUUCGGGUUGUAAACCGCUUUCGCCUGUGACGAAGCGUGAGUGGCGGUAAUGGGUAAAGAAGCACCGGCUAACUACGUG